rnacentral:rRNA from 1 species
AUUGAACGCUGGCGGCAGGCCUAACACAUGCAAGUCGAGCGCGCGGCGGACGGGUGUGUAAUGUAUGGGGACUGCCCGUGAGAGGGGGAUAACUACUGGGAACGGUGGAUAAUACAGCAUACUAUCGGAUAACCCAUAUGGGAUUAGCGAGUAGGUGGGGUACUGGGGCACCUAGGCGACGAUCCCUAGCUGGUCUGAGAGGGUGAGAAGCCACACUGGAACGGAGACACGGCCCAGACUCCUACGGAGGCAGCAGUGGGGAAUAUUGCACAAUGGGCGCAAGCCUGAUGCAGCCAUGCCGCGUGUAUGAAGAAGGCCUUAGGGUUGUAAAGUACUUUCAGUCGGGAGGCGUUACCGACAGAAGAAGCACCGGCUAACUCCGUGCCAGCCGCCGCGGUAAUAC